GUCGAGGUGGCGGAAUUGGCAGACGCGCAGGGCUUAGGACCCUGUGGGAUUUUAUCCCUUGGGAGUUCAAGUCUCCCCCUCGACACAA
rnacentral:tRNA from 1 species